ACCACCACCUAUUUAACCAUGGUUAAUUUCUAACCUUACCCGGCACACACAUACACACACAGCAUAAACAUAAACUCCUUAUCCUCUCUCUUUUUCUCUCUCUCUCUCUCUCUCUCUCUCUCUCCGUCUUUCUCUCACUCACAUCACGUUACACAUACUACUCUCGCUUCUUGUUAAUGGCGUCUCAGAUCUAGCAGUACGAGCGCUUCGCCGUUUCUGCUACUUUCUCAUCGUGGAAACGACACCGUCUGGGUGGCUGUUGUUAGUGUUUCCCUAUGCAGAGAAUGGCCUACACGUUCUCGUUUCCGGAGGAGGUGCUGGAGCACGUGUUCUCCUUCAUUGAGAGCGAGAGGGACCGGAACGCGAUCUCUCUGGUGUGCAAGUCGUGGUACGAGAUCGAGCGGUGGUGCAGGAGGAAUGUUUUCGUCGGUAACUGCUAUGCGGUGAGCCCUGUGAUGGUGAUCAAGCGGUUCCCGGAGUUGAGAUCCAUUGCGCUCAAGGGGAAGCCGCACUUCGCGGACUUCAACUUGGUCCCCGAGGGUUGGGGCGGUUAUGUCUGUCCCUGGAUCGCCGCCAUGGCCUGCGCCUUCCCCUGCCUCGAAGAGAUCAGACUCAAGAGGAUGGUCAUCACCGACGAGAGCUUGGAACUCAUCGCCAAGUCCUUCAAAAACUUCAAGGUGCUUGUUCUCACUUCAUGUGAGGGUUUCACCACUGACGGACUGGCCGCCAUUGCUGCCAACUGCAGGAAUUUGAAGGAGUUGGACCUGCAAGAGAGUGAAGUGGAUGACCUUAGUGGGCACUGGCUAAGCCAUUUUCCUGAUUCCUACACGUCACUAGUGUCACUGAACAUCUCUUGCUUAGGCAAUGAGGUCAGUUUAUCUGCACUGGAGCGUCUGCUUGGGAGGUGUCCCAACCUGCGGACCCUGCGCCUCAAUCGUGCUGUGCCCCUUGAUAGACUACCCAAUCUACUUCGUCGUUGUCCUCAGCUGGUUGAGUUAGGCACUGGAGUCUACUCAACUGAGAUGCGACCAGAGGUCUUCUCAAACCUGGAAGCCGCAUUUUCUGGGUGCAAGCAGUUGAAGAGCUUGUCUGGUUUUUGGGACGUCCUCCCAUCGUACCUCCCAGCUGUCUACCCCAUCUGCUCCAGGCUAACAUCGUUAAACUUGAGUUAUGCUAUUAUUCAGAGCCCUGAUCUUAUUAAGCUUAUCAGUCAAUGUCCAAAUUUGUUGCGUUUGUGGGUUCUGGAUUACAUAGAAGAUGCUGGUCUUUAUAACCUUGCUGCAUCAUGUAAGGAUUUAAGGGAGUUAAGGGUGUUUCCGUCUGACCCAUUCGGUUUAGAACCAAAUGUUGCAUUGACAGAAAAGGGCCUUGUCUCUGUGUCUGAAGGUUGCCCCCGGCUCCAAUCAGUUCUAUAUUUUUGUCGUCAAAUGUCUAAUGCAGCCCUGUUCACAAUUGCGCAGAACAGGCCUAAUUUGACUCGUUUUAGGCUUUGUAUCAUCGAGCCUAGAACGCCCGACUAUCUUACGCAUGAGCCACUUGAUUCUGGUUUUGGAGCCAUUGUAGAACAUUGCAAGGAUCUUCAACGCCUAUCUCUAUCUGGUCUUCUUACAGAUCGUGUUUUCGAGUAUAUUGGGACUUACGGGAAGAAGCUGGAGAUGCUAUCUGUGGCUUUUGCUGGAGAAAGUGAUCUGGGACUUCAUCAUGUGCUGUCUGGGUGUGAUAAUCUUAGGAAGCUGGAGAUCAGGGACUGCCCCUUCGGUGACAAGGCGCUUUUGGCAAAUGCUGCAAAGCUGGAGACAAUGCGAUCCCUUUGGAUGUCCUCCUGCUCAGUGAGUUAUGGAGCAUGUAAGCUACUGGGUCAGAAAAUGCCCAGACUCAACGUUGAAGUCAUUGAUGAAAGAGGACCUCCAGAUUCUAGGCCGGAUGAUUGUGCUGUUGAGAAGCUUUAUAUUUACAGGACUGUUGCCGGGCCAAGGUUGGACAUGCCUGGUUUUGUGUGGACAAUGGAAGAUAAUUCUUCGCUAAGGCUUGAGUGAUUACGCUGUGGAUUGAGUCGAGGAGUCUAAUGCCACUUUGAUUUGGGAAAUUGUCAAUGACAGCUUGCUAAAUCGGAAUGAAAGCAGUGUGUAAAAGGCUGCAAUGGAUCUUUGGUGGCCUCACCACCCUGAGAAGAGGAUGGGAUGAGUAAGGUUUAAAAAGUUUUGCUUGCGGAGGAAAAGAAUCAGGUUUCAGGUGGCUUUGGCAGGCAAAUUAGUGAAUGGCCCAAAUUUUGUGGCACUGGCAUUUUGAAAAAGCAAAAGAAAGAGGAAAGGCUAGGGUGGUAAAAAUGCCCUCAGGUGUGGUGACAUCUGCUUUUUCAUUCAAUGUUUAUCGGGGAAAGAGAGGAGAAGAUCCUCGACUGGCGAGCCACGUGAUAGAUUCGGUCACAUUGGAUGGUGUCCCUUGCUUUUUCUCCUUCAUUCAACUUCUCUUUUCUUAAACCAUCCACCGAAUACUGUAUUAAUCUAACAAAACAGAUCCGUUCCAAAGAACACAUCAAUUACAUUUUUGUAGAAGAAGAGGAUGUGAUUGUGAAAAACUUUUGUUUAUCAGAAAAAGAAACUGAAAAUCAGGAAAAAGAAGAAAAAAAGCAGGCAAGACAAGAAGAUUAUGUUGCAGGGAGAGUUUGGUCCCCACCACAGUUAUCCAAUCAAAUAAAGAAAAAGCAGGAAAAAGAAAAGGGCGAAGGUGUGCGAGUAGUAGUGAGACCAGGUUUCAUUACUUAAUGAUGGCCGCACGUUUCAUGUUCAUCACCAUCAUCAUUUUUAUUCUCUUAUUUUUAACUCUCCCAUAUCCUUCAUUUUCAUUUUACCAUUCUAUCAUUGCAUUAUUCCAAUUUCACCCUCCCUUACUUUUCAUUUCACCUUAUGUGAUUAACUAUUUUACAUCUGUCUCUGCUACUAAUUCAACUUUUCAAUACCAUGUUUCUUAAGUAAUCUGCCCAAUCUUCACAUAUAUUUUCAAAGCCCAUGUUAUGAGGGUGACAGUAAAAUUAGGGCAGCUUCCUCCUGCACCUCCAUAUAUUUGAAUUCACACUUUUAUACGGCUGUGAAAUGACAUAUUUAUCUCUAUCUUUUUCUUUCCAUCUCUAUCCUCAUUCAUCACAUACCUUUCUCCCUCCUUCUUCUUCCUUCACCGGCUCACCCAUUUCAAAUUUCAAAAUUAAAAUCUAAUUUUUCAAAUUUCAAAAUUAAAAUCUAAAAUUAGAGGAUCAAAAUUUUCAAGGAUAUGAAGUACAAGAUGAAAAUUAUGGAGCUGCAGGAAUCCAGUAAAAUUAGAUUAACACCCACGUCUUUAAUUCUAUAACUAAUGCCUUAUAUGUAACUAUAUUGGUAUCGUAGUAUUAAUAUGUCACAACCCUUAAAUGCUGUAGUGGAAGUCAGGUGGAAGGGUGAGAAUUUAGAGAUUCAGAAAGUGGAAGACAGGUGUGAACAACAAAAUGGACCGAUUGGUUUUGACAGUAGUACUUAAGUAAAAAUUUUAAAUCUAGUGUUACUUUUUGCAUGCAUUUUCUUUCCCAACUUUCUGAACUCUCAUUUUCUCCUCAUUCUCUCUUACUUCUCUCUAAACUAUCAUCUUUUCCUCCAUUGAUUUUCACGUUUUCCUUCAUCUGAUCAUUCAUCAGAGAGUGUGAGGGUUGCUGGUGGCAAGGGUUCUCUUUUCAAACGAUCAAAUUGUGGUUUGAGCUGUGAAUAUUGGCUUUGCGUGCUUGGUGGUGGGCAGAUUUUGUACUAUGAGCGGUUCGGUCUGUUAAGAGGUAAGGAAAACUAUUUAAUUUAAUUGUAUGUGAUAUGAUUGUGUAUGGAAUGAAUUGAUUUGAUGAUUGGUAUAUGAUUGUAUGAAAUGUAUGUUUCUGGGUUUUAGGGAAUUCUGUAUAAGUUUAUAAGAGUUCUGCAGAAUUAUGCAGAAAUGCUAGGUGUUCGGUUUUGACCGUUCGGUCAUGGUUAGUUAAUAAUUUAUCAGUAGAGUUAGCAUUUUAGUCUCAACCGUAUAGGACCUUUCGGUUUAGGGAGUGAUUGAUAUAUCAAGUGUUAAUGGUUAUGUCUUUAUGAUCAGUCUUAUUGGAGUAUGUAUUCUGGUUAGUGAUAGUUCCUAUAUUAUUAUUAUUAGACCUCGUCCUUGUACUAGGCUUAAAUACAUUGGUUAUACUGAGACAGUUGUUCCUGUAUAUGGUUGGACCAUAUUAUCCUAACGAUCGGUUUCUUAAAAGUGUUAAGUUUUAUUAAUAGAAUUUGAAUUAAACAUUAAGUGUUCGGUAUAUACUGUAACUAUUCGUCUUAGGUUAUUGUGAUUUGUUUCUUGUUAGUAUUUUAUUUUUAGUUCUAUAAGUCAAUUAUUCUCUCAUCCUUACUUAGUAUGAAAUAUCGUUCGGUCUUGCUUUGAGGAUAGUGGAAUACCGUUCGGUCUUACACUAAGUAUUAAAUCCUAUCAGAGUAUUAGGCUUUAGGUGAGCAUUCGGUUUUUGGAAGUAUUCGAUUUAAUUAUAGUGUUCUAUCCUUAAAUGUGUGUGGCUCAUGUUUGAGCCUUACUUGUUAAAUGACCGUUCGGUCAUAUUUGUAGGUUGUAUUGAUCCUUUUCGAUUUGGUUGUAGUCAGGGGUUGGAUUGAUUAACGUUCGGUCUUCUUCUAUGGAAUGUUAUUUGAUCUUCCAAUGCUGAUUUUAUGGUUUAGUUUUGGUUCCAUAUUAUAGUAUGGAUCUAUUAUGUAUGAGAAAUAUUAUUGGUAUUCAAGUAAAAGUUGAUAUUUCAAGUAAUGUGGAAGAAAAUUCCAAGGAGGAAUGUCUCAGUGUAAUGUGUAGUAAUGUGGUAAAGUAUGAAUACGAAUAGUGAAAUUUACGGAAUUCAUCUUGAUAUUCUGAUGAUUACCAGUUCUCAAGUAGAGAUGGGUAAUUCAUUGUGUGAGAAUGGUAGGAGGUCUUAGCCCAUUGGUUCUUGGGUGAGUUAUAACGGACUGGCAGGAGGUCCUAGCCCAUUGGUUCUUAGGAAGUUUAUGUAAAGUUUUAAAUUUUAUGGUUAUUUUGUAAUAACCGUAAGUUUAACUUUAUUAUUUCAGCAACUGUUCUAUUAUAUUGUUAAAUGAUGACACAUGUGUAUAGUUUUAUC